GACGCGUCCGGCUGGGGCGGGAGCUGCCGGCCUGUAGCGAGCCUGCACCGGGCCAGGACCCCGAACCCCGGACCCCGGACCCCGGGGCUGACUGGCCCGCUGGGUUUGAAUCAGUUACAUGUGGGAGAGAGAACAGAAAGGAAGGAAAAAAAGAAUAGGCCAUUAAGAGCUGGGACAAAGAUCAUCACAAUCACAUCACAGCUCAUGAAGUUGGGUCCCAAAGAACAAGUUUGUCCACGGUCACAAACCUAGGAAAUGGCUGAGUAAUUGAUCGAAAUCUUCAGAAAAUUGAAAGACCUUGUGUUUUUCAAUCAAAGUCUUGAAGCCUCCCUGGCCAACAAAGAACAUUAAACACAG
rnacentral:lncRNA from 1 species